GUUCACGCCAUUCUCCUGCCUCAGCCUCCCGAGGAGCUGCAACUACAGGCGCCCACCACCAUGCCUGGCUAAUUUUUUGUAUUUUUAGUAGAGACGGGGUUUCACCGUGUUAGCCAGGAUGGUUUGAACUCCUGAUCUGAAGUGAUCCGCCCGCCUCGGCCUCCCAAAGUUCUGGGAUUACAGGAGUGAGCCACCGCGCCCGGCCCUUUUUUUUUUUUGUGACGGAGUCUCGCUCUGUCGCCCAGGCUGGAGUGCAGUGGCGCAAUCCCAGCUCACUGCAAGCUCCGCCUCCCGGGUUCACGCUGUUUUCCUGCCUCAGCCUCCAGAGUAGCUGGGACUACAGGUGCCCGCUACCAUGCCUGGCUAAUUUUUUUGCAUUUUCGUAGAGACGGGGUUUCACUGUGUUAGCCAGGAUGGUCUUGAUCUCCUGACCUCGUGAUCCGCCUGCCUUGGCCUCCCAAAGUGUUGGGAUUACAGGUGUGAGCCACCGCGCCCGGUCGAGUUUUCUUCUUUAAUCUGGUGUUGAUCCUGAGAGUGCUUUGUUAAAAAACAUUCUCCAUGCUGACCUCCGUUUUCGAGUCCGCUUCCUGGGGAAACCUGAAACAGGACUUGAUGCUAGCAGCUGCCCAGAAGAACCAGAUGGGCCACUGUCCUUGCCAGAAGAUCUGAUAUCCUGUGUAUGGCCACCACCUAACACUGCUCACUUCUACAUGUAAACCUCAGCCAGAUCUGCUGUUAGAGGAGAAUUCUUCUGUCCUAGCUGUGUCUCUGUGAUCUGUGGAUGAGGGUGGGAAAGCACCACUCAGUCAAUUGGGGUGUACAAAAUGGAGUUUGAGAAGGUCUCACAUCCAGGUUGUUUUGAAGCAAAGUCCAAGCAUUGUAUCACUUCAUCUGCAAAUAUUUCAAUAAGUACCCAAAAGACUUCCUAGGAUAGAGCUUGGAAAGGUUGGAAAAGUAAGGAUGAUUGAACUUGAAAGGUGUGAAUGAAAGAAGAAUUAUCUUUUGGGAUGGAGAAUAGUAGCUGUUUUCAAAGAAGAUUUUAUUUUAUCUUUCAUUUUUGGCCUAUAAGUUUUGCAGAGAAUCUGUGAUUAGAGUAUUUAGUAAAGUACUAUGUAAUUAUUGUUCUGUUAUUUGGACACAUGUUUAAACUAGAAUUUUGAAGAUAGCAAUUAGCAAUAAUUAUGUAUGUUCUAGCCACUUUAUUCAUUCUACCUCUUUUACCAUAUACUUUAAAGAUAUCUAUAUGGUAAAAGGUAAGUGGCAACUGAAUAAUCACAAAUACAUCAACAAGUAAAGAGAUGCUUUGUUUUAUUGAGUGCAUUCUUAUAUUUUCUCUUUUGCUGGAAUAAUAAGUGGGGUUUUAAACUGAUCUGUUCUAACAUUGUUUUUCCUCAUUUUCUCUCUCUUUAGAGGGUUUCAGCAGGUUUUCAUACAUUCUCAGUUAGAAGCUGUUAUAAUUUUUAAAAUAAUACUCUAGUUCUAGUUAUUCUAUCACGAGCUGAUUCUAUUUAUACAACAAAUAAAUACUAAUUAAAACUACUCUAUAACCUUGAACUGUACAUUAGGGAAGUUAUACCUAUGGUGGAUGACUGAAAAGAGAGUCCAGGAUAAACUGAUACAUCUAAUUGCACAUAGUAGCCUUCGAAUCAAGACUCUCAAAUAGUAAAAUGCACUAAGCCAAUAUGGAUGGGAAUAGCCUCCUGCUGUUUUCCCAACUAUUUGAAUUUUUAAUAUCUUCUCUUAUAGCUAUAUACUUUUGGUUCAUUUAUGCUAGCGGUGUUAUCAGUGAAUGUAUUUUUAGAUUCUGUAUUCCAUAUUUUAGAUUCUGUAUUCCAUAUUUAAUGAAAUUUUAUUUAUAG
rnacentral:lncRNA from 10 species